GAUGAACGCUGGCGGCGUGCCUAAUACAUGCAAGUCGAGCGAACGGACGAGAAGCUUGCUUCUCUGAUGUUAGCGGCGGACGGGUGAGUAACACGUGGAUAACCUACCUAUAAGACUGGGAUAACUUCGGGAAACCGGAGCUAAUACCGGAUAAUAUUUUGAACCGCAUGGUUCAAAAGUGAAAGACGGUCUUGCUGUCACUUAUAGAUGGAUCCGCGCUGCAUUAGCUAGUUGGUAAGGUAACGGCUUACCAAGGCAACGAUGCAUAGCCGACCUGAGAGGGUGGUUGGCCAAACUUGAACUUAGGCACGGUCCAGACUCCUACGGGAGGCAGCAGUAGGGAAUCUUCCGCAAUGGGCGAAAGCCUGACGGAGCAACGCCGCGUGAGUGAUGAAGGUCUUCGGAUCGUAAAACUCUGUUAUUAGGGAAGAACAUAUGUGUAAGUAACUGUGCACAUCUUGACGGUACCUAAUCAGAAAGCCACGGCUAACUACGUG
rnacentral:rRNA from 1 species